rfam:Cavia porcellus supercont2_45 genomic scaffold, whole genome shotgun sequence.
GGGGAUUUAGCUCAGCGGCAUAAGCACCUGCCUUGCAAGCAGGCAGUGAAUUCAACCCCCG